GCCGGCAGCUAGCUCUCUGCAACUCUCACAUGUUCACCCACUGAAGCUAAGCAGGGCAGCGCCUAGUCAGUACCUAGAUGGGAGACCACAUAGGAAAGAUAGGUUGCUGUCGGAA
ensembl:rRNA 5S_rRNA 5S ribosomal RNA